GGGUUACGAGCUUCACUCCCAACCCCUGUGAACAUACCAAUUGUUGCCUCGGCGGAUCAGCCCGCUCCCGGUAAAACGGGACGGCCCGCCAGAGGACCCCUAAACUCUGUUUCUAUAUGUAACUUCUGAGUAAAACCAUAAAUAAAUCAAAACUUUCAACAACGGAUCUCUUGGUUCUGGCAUCGAUGAAGAACGCAGCAAAAUGCGAUAAGUAAUGUGAAUUGCAGAAUUCAGUGAAUCAUCGAAUCUUUGAACGCACAUUGCGCCCGCCAGUAUUCUGGCGGGCAUGCCUGUUCGAGCGUCAUUUCAACCCUCAAGCCCAGCUUGGUGUUGGGACUCGCGAGUCAAAUCGCGUUCCCCAAAUUGAUUGGCGGUCACGUCGAGCUUCCAUAGCGUAGUAGUAAAACCCUCGUUACUGGUAAUCGUCGCGGCCACGCCGUUAAACCCCAACUUCUGAAUGUUGACCUCGGAUCAGGUAGGAAUACCCGCUGAACUUAAGCAUAUCAAAGAAAAAAU
rnacentral:rRNA from 1 species